rnacentral:rRNA from 1 species
UACGAAGGGGGCUAGCGUUGUUCGGAUUUACUGGGCGUAAAGCGCACGUAGGCGGAUCGUUAAGUCGGGGGUGAAAUCCUGGAGCUCAACUCCAGAACUGCCUUCGAUACUGUAGAGCUUGAGUUCGGGAGAGGUGAGUGGAACUGCGAGUGUAGAGGUGAAAUUCGUAGAUAUUCGCAAGAACACCAGUGGCGAAGGCGGCUCACUGGCCCGAUACUGGCGCUGAGGUGCGAAAGCGUGGGGAGCAAACAGG